rnacentral:rRNA from 1 species
GAUGGUUCGAUUAGUCUUUCGCCCCUAUACCCAGUUCAUACGAUCGAUUUGCACGUCAGAAUCGCUACGGACCUCCAUCAGGGUUUCCCCUGACUUCAUCCUGACCAGGCAUAGUUCACCAUCUUUCGGGUCCCAGCGUGUACGCUCUUGGUGCGCCUCAUCUUGCAAUAAGUAUGCCACCCCCCGGGUAUGCGAGGUAACAUAAACACCAUUACCCAUCUUCCCUUUAUAAAAUAAUG